GACGAACGCUGGCGGCGUGCCUAAUACAUGCAAGUCGAACGAGAGCAACCGGUGCUUGCACUGGUCAAUCUAGUGGCGAACGGGUGAGUAACACGUGGGUAACCUGCCCAUCAGAGGGGGAUAACAUCCGGAAACGGAUACUAAAACCGCAUAGGUCUUCGAACCGCAUGGUUUGAAGAGGAAAAGAGGCGCAAGCUUCUGCUGAUGGAUGGACCCGCGGUGCAUUAGCUAGUUGGUGAGGUAACGGCUCACCAAGGCCGUGAUGCAUAGCCGACCUGAGAGGGUGAUCGGCCACAUUGGGACUGAGACACGGCCCAAACUCCUACGGGAGGCAGCAGUAGGGAAUCUUCCGCAAUGGACGCAAGUCUGACGGAGCAACGCCGCGUGAGUGAAGAAGGUUUUCGGAUCGUAAAACUCUGUUGUUAGAGAAGAACAAGUGCUAGAGUAACUGUUAGCGCCUUGACGGUAUCUAACCAGAAAGCCACGGCUAACUACGUG
rnacentral:rRNA from 1 species